rnacentral:rRNA from 1 species
CAUGGCUCAGGAUGAACGCUGGCGGCGUGCUUAACACAUGCAAGUCGAACGAAGCACCUUGAUUUGAUUCUUCGGAUGAAGAUCCUGGUGACUGAGUGGCGGACGGGUGAGUAACGCGUGGGUAACCUGCCUCAUACAGGGGGAUAACAGUUAGAAAUGACUGCUAAUACCGCAUAAGACCACAGCACCGCAUGGUGCAGGGGUAAAAACUCCGGUGGUAUGAGAUGGACCCGCGUCUGAUUAGGUAGUUGGUGGGGUAACGGCCUACCAAGCCGACGAUCAGUAGCCGACCUGAGAGGGUGACCGGCCACAUUGGGACUGAGACACGGCCCAAACUCCUACGGGAGGCAGCAGUGGGGAAUAUUGCACAAUGGGGGAAACCCUGAUGCAGCGACGCCGCGUGAGCGAUGAAGUAUUUCGGUAUGUAAAGCUCUAUCAGCAGGGAAGAAAAUGACGGUACCUGACUAAGAAGCACCGGCUAAAUACGUGCCAGCAGCCGCGGUAAUACGUAUGGUGCAAGCGUUAUCCGGAUUUACUGGGUGUAAAGGGAGCGUAGACGGAGUGGCAAGUCUGAUGUGAAAACCCGGGGCUCAACCCCGGGACUGCAUUGGAAACUGUCAAUCUAGAGUACCGGAGAGGUAAGCGGAAUUCCUAGUGUAGCGGUGAAAUGCGUAGAUAUUAGGAGGAACACCAGUGGCGAAGGCGGCUUACUGGACGGUAACUGACGUUGAGGCUCGAAAGCGUGGGGAGCAAACAGGAUUAGAUACCCUGGUAGUCCACGCCGUANACGAUGACUACUAGGUGUCGGGCAGCAAAGCUGUUCGGUGCCGCAGCAAACGCAAUAAGUAGUCCACCUG